rfam:Gossypium hirsutum cultivar TM-1 unplaced genomic scaffold scaffold349.1, whole genome shotgun sequence
AACCCAUGGUGAGGGCACCUUCGCAAUAGAUCCUUGUAUCUCUCCCAUGCAUCAUAAAGUGUUUCUAAGUCCAUCUGCACAAAAGAAUAGAUAUCAUUACGUAACAGC